GGUUGGGGUAGGGGUGGGGGUGGGAUAUAGAGGAAGUGUCAGGGAGUGUGUUUUAUGUUGAAACUGUACAGACCGAAAAUGUCUCACAAAAAAAAGACGAAAAAAAAAAAACGGCAUUUUUGUUUUCCAUUCACUAUGGCUGUGGUUGAGCUCCUGUUGUAAUGGUUUUUAUUUAAUAUUUAUGUGACCUUCCAAAUGAGAAAUUUUUAGAGUGUUAUUGCACUUUUUAGGUUCAUUUUUACCAUCUGGGGAAUGAAAAAAAAGGAAAAAAAUAAUGAUAUAUAUCUUUUAACAGGGAAUUUGCUUUAAAGAUGUUGUUUUAGUUCACUUUUUUUUUCUUUUUUUUUUUUGCUUUGAUGCACAAAUAGAUGUUAGUGUGACAAAGAACUGUUGUUCUGUGGUUUAUUUAAAGAUUGGUUUUUAUUUUUUGCUUCUUCUGUGAUUGGACAGUACAGCGAUUUUAAAAAAAGGAAGAAAAACAACGACAACAUAAAAAAAAAAGGAAGGAAACGCGGUGCGUCGGGAAAACGGCGCUCCUGUAUGAAACACUAAUACGGACUGUGAUUUCAAUUAAUUCUUAAGGAGUUCAUAGCAAUGCUCACUUACUGUAGUACUAAAUUAUAAACCUGUCUAAACCACCCUCUGGUUUUUAUUGAGCGAACAUGUACGACUGAGGAGUGGACACACUGAUCAUGAAUUAUCUCCUGAGCUUAGCAUUGGAUAUAAAUGAUCACAAUAUAGGGAUAAAUAAUGUGUGUAGAUGAUAUUCCUCCAGAUAUUGUUUUGAGAAGAAGAAGAAGAAGAAGAAAAAAUAAGGUUGUACAGUAUUUUCCUCUGUAAAAAAUGACUAUAUAUGAACAAAAUGCUCUUUGAUGAACAGCUUCCUUUAAAAAGAAAACGGUAAAAAAGGAGAAAUGAAUAAUAAAAAGUUAAAAAUUCAAAUAGCCUCAUCAUAGUUUGCUUGUGUGCGUGACCUCUCUUAAUUAGAAGUUGUUCAUAUUAUAGCGGCGGUGGGAUGCCGUUACAUGCCGUAUAUUUUAUUUCUUUUCUCUCAAACUAAAAAUACACUGAUUUGAAUUCAUUCAUGGAUGUUUCUCUCUUAUUUAUUGAUUCAUUUGAUUCAUUGUCAUUUUUCUGUGCAUGAUCUCUACCCCCCCCCUCACACACACACACAAACACACCCACCCCCACCCCCCCCAAUCCCUCUCAUUAACUGAAAAUCUUGGUUUGUAUUUACUUUGCUGUGGGCGCAGACUGAACUGUCUCCCGGGACUCUGUUGCAGAGCAGAGGCAUUUACUACGUUUGUUUUGUUUUCUCUUCAUUUGCUGAGAUAACUGCAGGGGCUGGGAGAUGUUGUGUACUUGAAUUCAGUUUAGUGUGUGUGCAGGUGUGUGUGUGGGUGUGAAAUUUUGUUAAAAAAGAAAAAAAAAGUAAGAAAAUAAAGACGCUGUAAUUAUUAUGACGCAUGAUCGGUAAUGAUUCAGCCUGAGGUCGUUUUUAGUCACAUGUAGGGGGAAAACUGCUGCUGCUGGACAACAGCAGGGCAAAAGCAGCACUCCUUUUUUCCCCUCUGUGUCAGUGAUACUACUGAAGUGUGUGUGUGUGUGUGUGUGUGUGUGUGUGUGUGUGUGUGUGUGUGUGUGUGUGUGUGUGUGUGUGUGUGUCCUGCUGAGAGAGACUCAUAAGCCGUGGCUGUUCUGUCCCACCUACUCAAACCUGCAGUUUAAUCCAUAACCUCAUUUUCCUGCUUGUUCCUCUAUAAACUCAACUUUUUUUUCACCAAAAUAAUUGAAAACACACAAACACACACAUAAAAAGACAAAAAAAAACAUCUGCAUUCAUGCAGGUAGAGGAAUCAACAAUAUUUGUUGUCGGGGUUGUUCAUUCUUCACAUUCUGGUGUGAGAACAGGAUCAGAGCGAGGACCAUUACUGAGAUUUAGAGGUCUGCUACUGCUAACAAGAUGGCUCUCUGUGUCUUGCUCACUGGUAACAGGGCACAUUUAUUAUUAUUACUUUUUUUUUUUUCUCUCUUUAAGCCAUGUGCUGGUGUCUCCUCCCAAUAUUUCAUGUCACCCAGUGGCCAGUGUGCUGACUCUGUCCCCUCGUCUACAGCUGUUCCUGUCCUUACUCCUUCUCUUCCUUGUGAUGUUUUUUUUUUUUUAAUAAAAAAAGAGAAAAAAAAGCACGGGUAAAGGCAUCACCAUCUGUCUGCCAGCUGGUAUCCUGUAUAUAAUCUACCAGUGGAAAAAAAAAGAAAAAAAGAAUAAACAUGAAAAUUAUAUUACACAAAAACCAGACGGAAACGACCUCCAAAUCCUGCAUAGGCUGCUGCUGAAACGACAGAUCGUUUUACUGUUUUAAUUAACAGAGUAAAAAGGAUGGUAUAAAAAAUGUGUGUGUGUGGGGGGGGGUAAACAGAGAUGUAUUUCCACUGCUGGAAAAAUGUAAUAUGAAAGCAGCCUUCUUACUGCAGAGUAGUGGAUAAACAGAGCAACAAUUUAGACUUUGUAAAAUAUAUUGCACUUUUGGACUAAAAGCCAUCUCCCGUUAGCGUUCAAUUUGGCUCGAUUUAUGAGACGUUUUAUAUGAAAAGUAGACAAUGAAGCAAUUUUUUAAAAAGUCUCUACUUCAAUUUGUUGCCCUCAGCGCUACUAUUCAUUCUCGUCGUGUUGCUUAUUUCCACUUGGAUACAGUGCUGUUCAUCUUCAUUGUUCUAUAUUUAUGUUUUUGCAUGUCUUAUGCAAACAUUGAGCUUUUCACUCAGUGAAAUAAAAAAAACCAUACUGAAUAACUUUAGGCCUGUUUCCGGUGUCAGUGUGUUUUUGAAUUUUAAAACAUGUGUAUGACACAUCUUUGAGCAGAUUCAUACCUUCUGCUUUCACACAAAACAACCUCGAGUUUUAUGUUUUAUAAGCCUCAACUGUGUGUUUGUGUGUGUGUGUGUUAUUGUGCCAGGCAACACUGACAAGCAUUUGGUUGAUAUGUCAGGAACAGGUUGAGUGAGUGUAUGUGUGUGUGUGUGUGAGCAGCGUGGAGAGGCAACAGUUGAGGCUGGGA
ensembl:lncRNA